rnacentral:rRNA from 1 species
AAAGACUUUCUUUAAUUAAAUAAUUAAAUUUAAUUUUUUUGUGCAAAAGCAAAAAUAAUAAUUAGGGACAAGAAGACCCUAUGAAUUUUUAUUUAAUAUUGAAAUAUUAUUUACAUUUUCAAAUUAAAUUUGGUUGGGGUGAUGGAAAAAGAUUAAGUAUCUUUUUUUUAAUAAAAAAUUGGUUCCGUUUGUAACGAUUAAAUGAAAAAAAUACUCUAGGGAUAACAGCGUAAUAAUUUUGGAUAGUUCAUAUAGAUAAAAUAGUUUGCGACCUCGAUGUUGGAUUAGGAUUCUUUUUCGGUGAAGAAGUUGAGAAAAAGAAGUUUGUUCAACUUUUAAAUUCC